CUAGCGACUUCAGAGUUUGAUCCUGGCUCAGGAUGAACGCUGGCGGCGUGCCUAACACAUGCAAGUCGAACGGACAAGAUGAAACCUAGUGAUUCUUGUUAGUGGCGGACGGGUGAGUAACGCGUGGGCAACCUGCCUCAUACAGGGGGAUAACACUUAGAAAUAGGUGCUAAUACCGCAUAAGCGCACAGUUUCGCAUGGAACAGUGUGAAAAACUCCGGUGGUAUGAGAUGGACCCGCGUCUGAUUAGCUAGUUGGUAGGGUAACGGCCUACCAAGGCGACGAUCAGUAGCCGGCCUGAGAGGGUGAACGGCCACAUUGGGACUGAGACACGGCCCAA
rnacentral:rRNA from 1 species